UUUUUACUUUCCCUUUCUUCUCCAAAAUAGAAAAACCCAAAUUCUAUAACAUUUUAAUUUUUUUUAUUGCUGUAAAUAUGUUUCCCAUUGCCCAACAAAGAAGAAGGCUCGAAGAACUGAAGAAGGAGAAGAAAUAAAGAAUAAUUGUUUCACAAAUUCCCAAAUUCUCAAUUGGGGUAUUCCAAUCUCAAGGUGGUUUUGGUGAUAAAGGUAGUCAAUUAUGCGCAAACAAAAACAUAUUUAAUAAAUAGAAAGAGCCAGAGAAAGAUACACCUACAUCUAAUGGUGAAGAAGGGCCUUCUAAAAUUCAAAGAAUGGAUGCAACUCCCUCAACUGAGGAAUUCCUGAACAUUUAUGGGCGGCAUGUUUUUUGAUAUUUAGGUUUGGAAAUGACCCUAUAUUUGUGGAACUCAAGAUCUUUGAUUUACUGGUUCUGUUAAAAGAAUUAGUGGUUUUAUCGCUUGCUAUAAGGGCAUUGGUCACAUUCUCACGGUGCAAUGCAGCUCUUAAGCUCCUUCAUUUGUGCACGAGUGCACUUGAGACGGCUGAUCAGGCAUUUGUGACAUCAGUUGAUAAAUGGUUAGACAAGUCCCUUAUGCUGGAGAGGAGGGCAGUACGACUGCAACAAAAAUUCUUGUUAGAUUUAAUCCAAGCAAAAUGGCAACAACAUGUCUAAAGAAUUAAAACACACAGUUUUGCAGAGGUCUAAAUACAGAAACUGGAUUCACAAAACUUUCUGGAUUCAGUCAGUGGGAUCAAAUGUUUCGAGUUCAAAGUCUUUAAUGUUGGAAAUCUUGUGAUGUUCUGUCCCAUUAACCUUGACAGCUUUCUCUAGCAGGGGGCACUCUAAAAUUGUCAAAUAGCUUAAUUUGGUGAGUCGCUUCAUGGCAUCUUCUGUCGGCAGUUUCCUCAAAUUCUCGCACCGGGUAGUAGACAAUGCAUCAAGAGAUGAAAGGUUUCCAAGCCAAUCAGGGAGAUAUUCUAGAUUCUUAAAAUCAUAUAUUCCCAAUCUUUUCAGCGUCGUUAAGUGUUGGAUUUGUUCUGGAAGACUCUGCAGCUUUCCCCAACCACACAAAUUCAAAGCUUCAAGAGAAGUAAUUUUCCAGAGGAAGCUCAUAUCUGGAAAUUCAUUUCGCCCCAAAUAACCUCCAAUGGUUAAUUUCGUAAGGCAUGGGAGGCGGUAUAGCCAAUCAGGUGGCUGAUUUAUCAUCUUUGUCAUACGCCUUAUAUUGAGAUCACAAAGAUGACUUAAUCCUGUCAGGUCUGGGAGUGUCUCUACUUUUGGACAACAAUCAACCCACAAUCUCUCCAGCGACUUGCAACUUUGCAACCCCUCUGGAACACUUGUUAAACCAACAUUGUAGAAUUCAAGCUCACGCAACGUCUCAAGACUGCUGAGGCUGGGUAGAGACACCAGGUUGGGGCACACCUUUAUUUGCAAGACCUCAAGGGAAAUCAACUUGGAUAGGCUCUCCGGCAACCUACACAGAUUCUGGCAUCUAUGUAUUCUCAAUGUUUUGAGAGAUGUACAAUAUUCAGCCAACUCCUCAGGAGAGGAGAGCUGCCGGAGUCUGAACUGUGAACUCUGAAGUGAUGGGGAGGGUGCUAGAUGCAAACAACUUAAAAGAUUCGAUCACUUCUCUAGUGGAAGAUUGCAUUUUGUGGUACUGAUCAACCUGAGCUGAAGGAACAUGUUUAUCCUAAAUGAAAUUUUGACAAAUUAAGCUUGGAUUUUGUCAUAGAAUAUACAGAGGAAUGUUUUGUAUGGUUUCAUCAAUUGUUGCUAGCGUUGGAACUUGGAAGCUGAAGUAGCCUACAACUCUUUCCAGCUCAAGUAGUCAAUAUAUAUAGAUAGAGUAAUUCUACUAGAGGUUGAUUUGACAUAGUCUCCUAUACGGAUAAUGGAUGAUUAAUCAUAUUGUAUUUCCUGAUGGUUCAUAUCA